rnacentral:rRNA from 1 species
AACGAACGCUGGCGGCAUGCCUAACACAUGCAAGUCGAACGAGACCUUCGGGUCUAGUUGCUCACGGGUGCGUAACGCGUGGGAACCUUCCCUUAUGUUCGGAAUAACUCCCCGAAAGGGGUGCUAAUACCGGAUAAUGUCUUCUGACCAAAGAUUUAUCGCCUUUGGAUGGGCCCGCGUUGGAUUAGCUAGUUGGUAGGGUAAAAGCCUACCAAGGCGACGAUCCAUAGCUGGUCUGAGAGGAUGAUCAGCCACACUGGGACUGGGAAACGGCGCAGAAUCCUACGGGAGGGAGCAGAGGGGAAUAUUGGAAAAUGGGCGAAAGCAUGAUCCAGCAAUGCCGGGUGAGUGAUGAAGGCCUUAGGGUUGUAAAGCUCUUUUACACGGGAUGAUAAUGACAGUACCGGAAGAAUAAGCUCCGGCUAACUCCGUG